AGGUCGAUUUUCUGCAAUGUCGGUUCGUGAAUCAGGUCAGAUCCGAAAGGAAGCAGCCUUCAACGAUUCCCGGCAUGUGUAUGAUGCGGCUGGAGCGCC
rnacentral:SRP_RNA from 1 species